rnacentral:rRNA from 1 species
UACGUAGGGUCCGAGCGUUGUCCGGAAUUAUUGGGCGUAAAGGGCUCGUAGGCGGUUCGUCACGUCGGGAGUGAAAACUCGGAGCUUAACUCCGAGCCUGCUUCCGAUACGGGCAGACUAGAGGUAGGCAGGGGAGAGCGGAACUCCUGGUGUAGCGGUGGAAUGCGCAGAUAUCAGGAAGAACACCGGUGGCGAAGGCGGCUCUCUGGGCCGAUACUGACGCUGAGGAGCGAAAGCGUGGGGAGCGAACAGG